rnacentral:lncRNA from 1 species
GGGUAGGGUUUAAGGUUUAGUGAUUAGGGUUUAGGGUUUAAAUUUGGGUUUAGGGUUUAGUGGUUAGGGUUUAGGGUUUAGCAUUUGGAAGGUGGGAGUUGAGGUUGGGGUCCAUAUAACUUCUUACAUUCAAGCAUAGACGUUUCAUAAUUUCACCAAUAUGUACUAUACUAUUUAUUUUGUUCCAUUCUAUUUGGGUUUAAGUUUUUAUUUGUAUUUAAAUUUAGGUUUAGAGUUUAGUGAUUAGGGUUUAGGGUUUAAAUUUGGGUUUAGGGUUUAGUGAUUAGGGUUUAGGGUUUAAAUUUGGGUUUAGGAUUUAGUGGUUAGGGUUUAGCAUUUGGAAGGUGGGGGUUGAAGUUGGGGUCCAUAUAACUUCUUACAUUUAAGCAUAGACGUUUCAUAAUUUCACCAAUAUGUACUAUACUAUUUAUUUUGUUCCAUUCUAUUUGGGUUUAGGGUUUUUAUUUGUAUUUAAAUUUGGGUUUAGGGUUUAGUGAUUAGGGUUUAGGGUUUAGUAAUUAGGGUUUAGGGUUUAAAUUUGGGUUUAAGGUUUAGUGGUUAGGGUUUAGCAUUUGGAAGGUGUGGGUUGAGCUUGAGGUCCAUAUAACUUCCUACAUGCAAGCAUAGACGUUUCAUAAUUUCACCAAUAUGUAUUAUACUAUUUUUUUGUUCUAUUCUAUUUGGGUUUAAAGUUUAUAUUUGGAUUUAAGAUUUAUAUUUUGGUUUUGAGUCUAGAGAAUAUGGUUUUGGGUUUAAUAUUUAGGGGUUGUGGAUGGGGUUGUGAUAUGCUUUAUUAUUUUGGAUUGAUAUGAGAUUUGUGUUUUAUAUUAUUUUGUUGAUAUGGAAUAUAACACUAUGGUUUGAGUGUUGAAAUAGAUGGAAUACACCAUUUAUUGUAAAAAUGUUUUUGCUUUGUCUACAUAAUUACUAAAAACAAUGAAACGUAUG